UCGCCACCGUCAAGAGGGCAACUCCAGAAGGCUGCCGGUGACCCGGUGGGAGAGGAACACCCGCAGCGUCGAUCCACCGACGAGGGGCGGGAUGGGGUACACAGGCGGCGUGAAGCGCGAGAGGGAGGAGGACGAGGACGGCUCGGCCAUGGCGGCGGCGGCCCAGCGUCGCGGCGUCCCUCCCUUCGGCGUCGACGACGUGGUCAGCCGCAUGCAGCCCCUGUUCCAAGGGCACCCCAAUCUCAUCCUGCCAAGGGGAUACGUGCUCAGGGACAACCAGCAGUACUGCCUGUAACAUCGGUAGUUGUGUGAUCCUCAAUCCGGACUGUGUCCAUUAUCAUGUGUGCUAUUUAAUACUUGGAGUGAGAGGGACCUGAUCGAGAUCAUCUUGUUUGCUAUAUUGACAUGCA